GUGUCAUGGUGCCGCCCCGAGGGGCGGAGAAUUGGGAAGCCGGUGAGAGACCGGCGCUGCCCCCGCAACGGUAAGGGAGGGCGACGAGGCAAGACGCCACUGGGCCGCAAACGGCCCGGGAAGGGGCCUCUCGCACGGGCGAACGCCCGCCACCCAAGCCCGGAAACCAGCCAUGAU
rnacentral:ncRNA from 1 species